rnacentral:misc_RNA from 1 species
GUCAACAUUGAAUAGAAGAUAUCUGAUUUUAACAUAAGUAUAAGUAAAGGAUUCAAUCGUUAAUUUUGAAAAUAUAAAGACUAAAUUAUAAUGUUAAUCAAAAUUUAAGGACUAAAUAGUAAAUUAUUCAAUGUUUUAAAAUGAAAUUAUAGGCGAGUACACAUCAGCUUGAAAGCAUCCCAAGAGUAUGCAACUUGACUAUUUCCCCAUAAGUUACCAUAGGUUGUUUCUUGAAGUAUGGGCAUUUUCAAGUGCAAAAGCAUUUAGAUGGCUGUGGAAUGGCAUUAUUCCUACAAGAAAAUGUAUGCAAUCAAAUUAGUUUUAUUUGGUGCAUCCCAGUUCUGAGGGAGAGAAUUCACUUGACUGGAACUUGAGAGCUUACUAUUCUGGAGAUGACCCUAUUACCAUUGAGUUAAAACUCAUUGAUGGAGAGAUUCACUUUGGUGAAGUGAAGAAAAAAUUUACAAGAGAAACACGAUUGAGAAGUUUCUGUUAAUUUAACCAAAGCGCUAAGCAUUUCAAUUGCACUUCUCAAUUGUUGAAGCAACUGAGUGAGUGAAUCUAUUUUCAUGAUUUUGCAAUCUGGGAAUUCUCAGCAUCCAUACGUUCAAGCACUCGACGUGCUUCUUCUUCUGUAGCUGGAACAACAUUCCGGAUCCUUAAUCCAUCUCUCAUGGCCUCAGGACGGACAGUAAAUGUUAAAUAGAACUUGUUAGAUACCUCACUGGACCUUAGUUCAGGCCUUGUAACAUGAGCUACAACUUCCACAUUGAUCACAGGUUUAGCUGGGUCCUCAAGCUCUGUGUACAAAAUGCAAGACUUCAAACGAAGAAAAUUUCCAACAUCCACUGGUUUAAAGAAAUCAACAUGAUCAACUUCAACAAAGCGUGGUGCUGCACCAGCAAAUGCAUAAGCAUUAGAAAAGGCCAGCUCAAAUGCUUUGCGCAUCAAAAAUCCUCCAAAGAUGCGACCAUGAAUAUUCCUUUGCUGUGGUUGACAGAUCAAAGAGUUCUGAUGGCAAGUAUCCUGUAUAAGAAUGCUAUCUCUGUCUGCCAAUGCUGGCAUGUCACAGAAGACCCGUCCUUCAGCUAGCAAUGCAUUGAGUCUUUCCAUGUAUCUAUUCUCAGACUUGGUAUCUUUUUUAUUUUCUGUUCGCUUCUUUUUCCUUGUUUUGUUUCUUUCUUCUGCUUCUUCCCAAAGCAAUUUUUCUCGUACAGUUUCAGGUGAGAUUUGGUUAACAGGAGCUGAUUUUCCUGUAUUUGAGUCACGAGCCACAAAUGUGAAAUUUGCCAUAAGAGCAAGAGAGUCUGAAGGAUCGGAGGUCCCUUCUGUUGACUGAAUCACCUCCAACUGAAUCUCCAUGGAUGACCGCCCAACCCAUGUAACAGCACCAACUAUUUUCAGAUCGGCAUCAACACGUAUUGGUUUUUUCAGAACCAUCCUGUCAACAGAAGCAGUGACCAACAAAAGAGGCCUUGUUGUGCCAUCCUCAUUGCAGCAGUGCUUGUAGGAAAUGGUUCCAGCAAGAGCAUCGAGAUCUUCAACCAACUUCCCCAUCCUGACCUCAUUCCAAGGGUUCCUAUACUGCUCCCUGAGUAUAUAAUCAGAAGAAAAGUUAUAGAGAAUACUAGUCCUGCUCUUUGAUGGAGUUUUUGUUAUUAAUUCACUGUGUGAAGUGCCAUCAAGUGAAUCAGCAGGCUUCUCAAAUAUGCUUGAUCUUGCUUCCCAUAAAGCGUUUGUUACUGGAGAAUGGUACAUUCCAGGCCAUAAACUGAUAGGUUUUCGAAUCGAAGAUCCUGCAUCGAUUGGAUUUGAGGUCUCAAGGGGUGAACUAAUGGGUAUUCCAUUUUGUGCGUUCGGAUUUUCACUUGAAAAAUAUCUCGUUUGUGUGAAAUAGCAUGGGAUUCGAUCACGGAACGAGAUUUUAAAUGGAGGUUUUGGUUGUGUUGAUAGCUUAGACAAGUGAAAACUGAUGAUGGGUUCAUUGAGAAAGCGAGGCAUUGUCGUUGAAACUGAAGUUGAAUUUAAACAAUACCCAGUUUGAGAAUUAGAAAACAAAGAACAUAAAGUGGGUUUCAAUUUUUUCCAUGAAUUGGCACAGAGGGUAUCAUUGGAUUCAUAGCAUACAGAAAAUAAUUUGGUCCCCAUGACUCUGGACGAAUUGAGAUCAAGAAAUGCUAAAUUGGAUUUGGGAUUUUGAUGCUUGAAUGAAUUGAAAAACAAGGAAUCGACAGGCUCAUUAAUGUAGGGAUGAAAACUGAGAGUCUUAGAGUGUGAAGAAAGGGGUUGGAGAGUUGAUAAGCUGAUGUUGGAUUUAAGGAGAUGGGGGUGGGGGAAGUGAUUUUCUGAGUCGUUUCAUGAUUCAGUCAAAUGAAGAUUCAGUUGCUCUCAACUCUCCAACUCUGAGGUUAGGUGUCCAUGGAUAUGGAGAUGAGAUGGAGAUUGGAGUGAGCGCGUCUUUCUCCUUUCUGGUUAUGAAAAGGGAAGAUCCUAAAGCUCUUCGCUUGAUUUGUUGCUAAAUAUUAGGGUCCAUCCUUCUCUCUAAUGGACUGUUUUGAUACACUAACCCUGUUGGAUUUAAG